rnacentral:rRNA from 1 species
CUGCCUCUAUGAUGGGGAUAACAGUUGGAAACGACUGCUAAUACCGAAUACGCUCAUAAUGAACUUUAUGAGGAAAGGUGGCCUCUGCUUGCAAGCUAUCGCAUAGAGAUGAGUCCGCGUCCCAUUAGCUAGUUGGUGGGGUAACGGCCUACCAAGGCAACGAUGGGUAGCCGAUCUGAGGGGAUGAUCGGCCACACUGGAACUGAAACACGGUCCAG